AUGUCAGGAGGAUAUUACCUGGUCAUCAGCUUGAACCUCUCCCAGGCUUCAUAGAAGGUCUCACCAUCUCUCUGCCUGAAGUUCUGAAUAUCCACCCUUAGCUU